rnacentral:rRNA from 1 species
CCUACGGGUGACAGCAGUGAGGAAUAUUGGUCAAUGGCCGGAAGGUUGAACCAGCCAUGCCGCGUGAAGGUCAGUGCCCUAUGGGCGUUAAACUUCUUUUGUGCGGGAGCAAUAAUGGUCACGUGUGGCCAGACGAGAGUACCGUACGAAUAAGCAUCGGCUAACUCCGUGCCAGCAGCCGCGGUAAUACGGGGGAUGCAAGCGUUAUCCGGAUUUAUUGGGGUUAAAGGGUGCGUAGGCUGUGAGGUAAGUCAGCGGUGAAAUGCCCCCGCUCAACGGGGUGAAGUGCCAUUGAUACUGCCUUGCUGGAAUGCGGAUGCUGUGGGAGGAAUGUGUGGUGUAGCGGUGAAAUGCAUAGAUAUCACACAGAACACCGAUUGCGAAGGCAUCUCACGAAUCCGCGAUUGACGCUGAUGCACGAAAGCGUGGGUAUCAAACAGGAUUAGAUACCCGUGUAGUC